CCCAUCCAGUGGCAGCCUACACCCACUGUCAGAAUUUCAUGUGCCAAGCAAAGAGAAAUAAAGCUUCGAGGCUCUGCUUGUCUCUGUGGGAGCGGAUCCUGUCAGCCUCUGGUACAAUGGAACAUUUGGCUGCCCCAUAUGCACCCAGAUAUGCUAUUUAUGGCCCCAUCCUGGGAUCUGCCUAAAGUCCUGUCAGUCCUCACAGGUGGAUGAUGCCAUGCCUGUGAAUUCAAUUCAGGCGGAUUCUUCCCCCAUGGUAUUGUAGCAAGAGAGCCUUGUGCAGCAGGCAUCCCCCUGGCAAACACAAAACUUAUGAGGAAAAAAGAGAGAGACACAACAAGCAGCAAGACGAGGCUGCUUCAUGCCAUAUUGCUGAGCUACUCUGUCCCAUUUCCUGUCUGGUUCCUAUCUAGUCUAUUUGGACCGUUUGCUAAAUGCCAAAAGCAAGGCAGCUUCAACAUGAUGCUCUCAGCCCAUGAGCACAUUGCUCGAUUGAAGUGGGCUACUGCUCCCCAUCCUCGGGAGCAGGCUUUGUGCCCCUGGAGCCCUUGUUCCAUGGCUGGAGGUCAACGAAGAGAGCAGGCAAGCAAGAGAGCAGAAUUUCAUUCGUAGCAUGUCUGGAGGAGAGGAUCAUGGAAGGCAAAAGCACAGAGAUUAUUGGAGAAAUUCACCUCUUCCAGAAUGUCACAGACUUCAUUGCACAAAAAUGGAAUUAAAGACUCAGUCUGACAGCUGUAAGCUCACCUUUAAUGAUGCACAGCUUCUUCUCAGUCUUUUUUUUUUUUAAGUACAUUGUGAGAAGAUUAAUUCACUCUAGAAGUACAGAGUUACACACUGUAAAGCCAGCACAAUCAGCUUUGUACCAGGGAGAUGCAAGUUGGUUCGGAAGGUAAAUAUCUGCUGGCCAAAGUU